AACGAACGCUGGCGGCAUGCCUAACACAUGCAAGUCGAACGAGACCUUCGGGUCUAGUGGCGCACGGGUGCGUAACGCGUGGGAAUCUGCCCUUGGGUUCGGAAUAACAGUUGGAAACGACUGCUAAUACCGGAUGAUGACGUAAGUCCAAAGAUUUAUCGCCCAAGGAUGAGCCCGCGUAGGAUUAGCUAGUUGGUGAGGUAAAGGCUCACCAAGGCGACGAUCCUUAGCUGGUCUGAGAGGAUGAUCAGCCACACUGGGACUGAGACACGGCCCAGACUCCUACGGGAGGCAGCAGUGGGGAAUAUUGGGCAAGGGGCGAAAGCCUGAUGCAGCAAUGCCGCGUGAGUGAUGAAGGCCUUAGGGUUGUAAAGCUCUUUUACCCGGGAUGAUAAUGACAGUACCGGGAGAAUAAGCUCCGGCUAACUCCGUG
rnacentral:rRNA from 1 species